rnacentral:rRNA from 1 species
CCUACGUGAGGCAGCAGUGAGGAAUAUUGGUCAAUGGGCUUACGCCUGAACCAGCCAAGUCGCGUGAGGGAAGACUGCCCUAUGGGUUGUAAACCUCUUUUGUCAGGGAGCAACGCCGGCUACGUGUAGCCGGACUGAGAGUACCUGAAGAAAAAGCAUCGGCUAACUCCGUGCCAGCAGCCGCGGUAAUACGGAGGAUGCGAGCGUUAUCCGGAUUUAUUGGGUUUAAAGGGUGCGUAGGCGGAAUGCCAAGUCAGCGGUAAAAUCGCGGGGCUCAACCUCGCUCCGCCGUUGAAACUGGCGUUCUUGAGUGGGCGAGAGGUAUGCGGAAUGCGUGGUGUAGCGGUGAAAUGCAUAGAUAUCACGCAGAACUACGAUUGCGAAGGCAGCAUACCGGCGCCCAACUGACGCUGAAGCACGAAAGCGUGGGUAUCGAACAGGAUUAGAUACCCGAGUAGUC